AACGAACGCUGGCGGCAUGCCUAACACAUGCAAGUCGAACGAGACCUUCGGGUCUAGUGGCGCACGGGUGCGUAACGCGUGGGAACCUGCCCUUAGGUUCGGAAUAACUCCCCGAAAGGGGUGCUAAUACCGGAUAAUGUCUUCGGACCAAAGAUUUAUCGCCUUUGGAUGGGCCCGCGUUGGAUUAGCUAGUUGGUAGGGUAAAAGCCUACCAAGGCGACGAUCCAUAGCUGGUCUGAGAGGAUGAUCAGCCACACUGGGACUGAGACACGGCCCAGACUCCUACGGGAGGCAGCAGUGGGGAAUAUUGGACAAUGGGCGAAAGCCUGAUCCAGCAAUGCCGCGUGAGUGAUGAAGGCCUUAGGGUUGUAAAGCUCUUUUACCCGGGAUGAUAAUGACAGUACCGGGAGAAUAACCGCCGGCUAACUCCGUG
rnacentral:rRNA from 1 species